rnacentral:rRNA from 1 species
GACGAACGCUGGCGGCGUGCUUAACACAUGCAAGUCGAACGGAAAGGCCCUGCUUUUGUGGGGUGCUCGAGUGGCGAACGGGUGAGUAACACGUGAGUAACCUGCCCUUGACUUUGGGAUAACUUCAGGAAACUGGGGCUAAUACCGGAUAGGAGCUCCUGCUGCAUGGUGGGGGUUGGAAAGAUUCGGCGGUUGGGGAUGGACUGGCGGCUUAUCAGCUUGUUGGUGGGGUAGUGGCUUACCAAGGCUUUGACGGGUAGCCGGCCUGAGAGGGGGACCGGCCACAUUGCGACUGAGAUACGGCCCAGACUCCUACGGGAGGCAGCAGUGGGGAAUAUUGCACAAUGGGCGGAAGCCUGAUGCAGCAACGCCGCGUGCGGGAUGACGGCCUUCGGGUUGUAAACCGCUGUCGCCUGUGACGAAGCGUGAGUGACGGUAAUGGGUAAAGAAGCACCGGCUAACUACGUG